rnacentral:siRNA from 1 species
AGGCUUCUUGACGUUCUUAGUGAA